CCUUAAAGAACCUGCCUUUGUAGUGCUCACACAGAUUGUCUGAUGAAAAGUAAAUAGCAAGGCGUCUUGCGAUUGACACUUUAGUGUCCCCUUCGUCUAGAGGCCCAGGACACCGCCCUUUCACGGCGGUAACAGGGGUUCGAAUCCCCUAGGGGACGCCCCUUGCUGGUUCGUGAGUGAAAGUCACCUGCCUUAAUAUCUCAAAACUCAUCUUCGGGUGACGUUUGAGAUAUUUGCUCUUUAAAAAUCUGGAUCAAGCUGAAAAUUGAAACGACACACUGUUCAAGUGUGUUCGAGUCUCUCAAAUUUUCGCGACACGAUGAUGUUUUACGAAACAUCUUCGGGUUGUGA
rnacentral:misc_RNA from 1 species